rnacentral:misc_RNA from 1 species
CUGGAGAGUCGCCAUGGGCGCACGCAGGAGCCGGAAAGCCGCGGCCAGGGCUGGACAGCGGUGGGGCUUCGCCGGAUAGAGGCCGCACCAGCAGGGGAGACGCGCGCUAGGGGCAUAGUGGUUGGCCGCACGCGCAGGCACGCGAGCACGCCGCCUGGGAGGCUCAGUCGCACGCCAGCGGCGGCGAGGCAGAGGCCAGGCACGCUGCGUGGGUGGCCGGGGCUGGGCGCCACACGGAGCUGUAGGGGCACGCAAGGCAGAAGCGCGCACGCGCGCUAUGCUGCUGCGGCACUGCGCUGGGUGGGCAAGCGUCCACCGGGAGCGCAAGGGAUGGGCAGCGUCGGGGACGGCGACCGCCACGGCGGCUCUACAGAUCUGGGCAUCGGUAUAACGGAUGAAGGGAGGAUGAGGGAGCUGCGUACCUGGUAA